GAUGAACGCUGGCGGCGUGCUUAACACAUGCAAGUCGAACGAAGCAUUUUACUACGAUUCCUUCGGGAUGACGGUGAUUUGACUGAGUGGCGGACGGGUGAGUAACGCGUGGGUAACCUGCCUUAUACAGGGGGGAUAACAGUUGGAAACGACUGCUAAUACCGCAUAAGCGCACGGUAUCGCAUGAUACAGUGUGAAAAACUCCGGUGGUAUAAGAUGGACCCGCGUCUGAUUAGCUAGUUGGCGGGGUAACGGCCCACCAAGGCGACGAUCAGUAGCCGGCCUGAGAGGGUGAACGGCCACAUUGGAACUGAGACACGGGUCCAAACUCCUACGGGAGGCAGCAGUGGGGGAUAUUGCGCAAUGGGGGCAACCCUGACGCAGCAACGCCGCGUGAAGGAUGAAGGUUUUCGGAUUGUAAACUUCUUUUAUUAAGGACGAAU
rnacentral:rRNA from 1 species